rfam:Atta cephalotes unplaced genomic scaffold scaffold00025, whole genome shotgun sequence.
AGAGUAAUUCCAUAGACGAGUAUGGAUGUGGUGCACGUGCGUCUUAUCAUUUCGUGACUAGAUACAUACUCGUCUACGGCAAUCUGUC